CCUACGGGUGGCAGCAGUGAGGAAUAUUGGUCAAUGGGCGGAAGCCUGAACCAGCCAAGUAGCGUGCAGGAUGACGGCCCUAUGGGUUGUAAACUGCUUUUAUACGGGAAUAACGCGCCUUACGUGUAGGGCUUUGCAUGUAUCGUAUGAAUAAGGACCGGCUAAUUCCGUGCCAGCAGCCGCGGUAAUACGGAAGGUUCAGGCGUUAUCCGGAUUUAUUGGGUUUAAAGGGUGCGUAGGCUGUACGUCAAGCUUGAUGUGAAAUGUCCGGGCUCAACCCGGGCAUUGCAUCGCAUACUGGCGUGCUUGAGUCCGCUGAAAGCAGGCGGAAUGCAUCGUGUAGCGGUGAAAUGCAUAGAGAUGACGAAGAACCCCGAUUGCGAAGGCAGCUUGCUACAGCAGGACUGACGCUGAUGCACGAAAGCGCGGGUAUCGAACAGGAUUAGAUACCCCUGUAGUC
rnacentral:rRNA from 1 species